rnacentral:rRNA from 1 species
CUGGCGGCGUGCCUAAUACAUGCAAGUUGAGCGCUGAAGGUUGGUACUUGUACCGACUGGAUGAGCAGCGAACGGGUGAGUAACGCGUGGGGAAUCUGCCUUUGAGCGGGGGACAACAUUUGGAAACGAAUGCUAAUACCGCAUAAAAACUUUAAACACAAGUUUUAAGUUUGAAAGAUGCAAUUGCAUCACUCAAAGAUGAUCCCGCGUUGUAUUAGCUAGUUGGUGAGGUAAAGGCUCACCAAGGCGAUGAUACAUAGCCGACCUGAGAGGGUGAUCGGCCACAUUGGGACUGAGACACGGCCCAAACUCCUACGGGAGGCAGCAGUAGGGAAUCUUCGGCAAUGGACGAAAGUCUGACCGAGCAACGCCGCGUGAGUGAAGAAGGUUUUCGGAUCGUAAAACUCUGUUGGUAGAGAAGAACGCUGGUGAGAGUGGAAAGCUCAUCAAGUGACGGUAACUACCCAGAAAGGGACGGCUAACUACGUGCCAGCAGCCGCGGUAAUGCGUAGGUCCCGAGCGUUGUCCGGAUAUAUUGGGCGUAAAGCGAGCGCAGGUGGUUUAUUAAGUCUGGUGUAAAAGGCAGUGGCUCAACCAUUGUAUGCAUUGGAAACUGGUAGACUUGAGUGCAGGAGAGGAGAGUGGAAUUCCAUGUGUAGCGGUGAAAUGCGUAGAUAUAUGGAGGAACGCCGGUGGCGAAAGCGGCUCUCUGGCCUGUAACUGACACUGAGGCUCGAAAGCGUGGGGAGCAAACAGGAUUAGAUACCCUGGUAGUCCACGCCGUAAACGGUGAGUGCUAGAUGUAGGGAGCUAUAAGUUCUCUGUAUCGCAGCUAACGCAAUAAGCACUCCGCCUGGGGAGUACGACCGCAAGGUUGAAACUCAAAUGAAUUGACGG